rnacentral:rRNA from 1 species
CUUUUAACAACGGAUCUCUUGGCUCUCGCAUCGAUGAAGAACGCAGCGAAAUGCGAUAAGUAAUGUGAAUUGCAGAAUUCAGUGAAUCAUCGAAUCUUUGAACGCACCUUGCACUCUCUGGUAUUCCGGGGAGUACAUCUGUUCGAGUGUCAUUAA